ACGCGUUUCAGGUUUGAGUUCAGACCUUGGUCUGAAAUUACAUUUCACAAAGCAAGGUUUGUCCUCAGACCAGGUUUAUGUACGUCAUCAGACCCGAAAUUUACAGACUGCUCAGAUAGGAGGUUUGUAAUUUCUCAAACCUGGUUUGAGAGCUAUCAACCAAUCAGGAUGCAGCACUGGGUGGAGAUAAUUUAUGCUCGAUUGAUUUCAUCCAAAUAAUUCACCGCCAAAACAAUCUGCGAUAGUAUCUGGUCAGCCCGAUUUUAGUGCAAUUGAAAUCUCUCAAUCUCUCGAUCCUUUCCUUAAAAUCUAAAGAUGGUAGAAAUGCAGCUGAUUCAGCAUAUUGGAGGAGGAGCUGGAGCAACAUAUAGCAGCACAACUGGGCAGAGGCCUCUGAGAUUGGGAAAACCCGCUGGAUGAUGAGCCUUUUGUUUUAGAUUGAGGUAAUUCGAUCUAAAGGAUGCACCAUGAGGAGGCGGCAUGCCGUGUCAUAUUCAUCUGUUUGCCGAAUGGAGAGUAGUGAGGGAUGUUUCCGAAGCUGUUGUCAGAAGAAAGGGACAAGUCAUGAAGUUUCCUACAAGUACAAGUUACAACAAGGCAAAAAGUGACUACUAUUCAGAAGCAGUUUUUCCAGUACUGCAGAUUUCCAGGAGUUGCUGUUGAUGGGACACAUGUUUACAUCAGGAGCCCUGGUGGGGCAAGAGCCAGGUACUACUUCAAUAGGAAGAACAGGUACUCCAUCGAUGUUCAGGUUGUCUGUGAUUAUGCUUGGAAAAUAACUAGUAUCGUUGCAAGGUGGCCUGGACUGGUAGCAGCCACGAUGCCAGGAUCUUUUCUGAGUGUGCACUGAAUUGACAGCUUGAUGCUAGGGCAUAUGAAUAACAGUUGAUUCUUGGAGAUAGACUAUAGGGUAUCCAUGCCUUCCCUGCCUCAUCAGAAGCCAUUUCUUCAUUCAGAGGGUCGACCACAGGAGGUCACUGACGGGAGGCUAUCUCAUCAAUUCAGUUCUCAAUUAACAUAAGAAAAAGAGGAUCAUGGGGGAUUAACAGGCACAGAUUGGGGAAGUUUUCUAUAUAGAGGGAGCAAGUAGCUACAAGUAGUACAGUGGGGCUUUAACACUUCCCACACAAAAAAGGGAGAUGUGUGAUUGAGCGCAUAUUUAUUAAAUGCAAGGAUGAGGACGUUCCAUGCCUCAUCAAUCUAAGAGAGAAGGUCGACACUUCUUAAUUAUUUUUAUGCUUUCCUGUUGCCCAUAUUGGGGAAAUUCACGUUGUGCAAAUAUAGCAUUGGUUUGGACAAGUAUAGCCUAAAACAGCUAACACUGGAGCUUACUAACAAGCAUUUAUUGCUUUCUUAGCUGUCGAGUAAAAUAACCACCACUAUCUAUCUAUUUAGUGAGCUAUACAUUAUUUAAUUAAGGAUUCCACAAAAAAUUUCAAUGUAUACAGUAAUAAGUUAUAAAAUACAGAUUUAACUCGAUUGCAACUGGAAUUACCUCAAAAUGUAUUUCAAAAUACGGCCCCUCCUUGGUGUUCCCACAAUACUUCGUAGUUAUGCAGCAUUACAUCAAGAACCUGGGUGUUGAACUGUUGAUUAUUUAUGAAUAUUUUUUAUGUUAUGUUUAGUUGAUAAGUAUUUGUUGUCACUCUGACGGUAUUUGUAAUUAAGUGUUCUCUAUAGAUUAAAUGCACCCGAUUUAACUAUAA